rnacentral:lncRNA from 1 species
ACUUGCACUUUAUAAGGCAUGAGCCACAAACUUUGGGAAACACAAAUAAAGCUUUCCAGGUAGCCUCUUCAAAACCUUUCUCACUGCCCUGGAGGUGAGAACCAGACACUACCCAUGUCUUCCCCACUGUGACAUUAGGAUUCCUAGAAACCUGAUGACGUUCUCAAAAUUUCUUUUUACAGAACUUUAUUACCAGUUCUCAGCUGCUGAAAAUGUUAAAAAUGAUCCAGGGCUUAAAGAGCUAUGGCACUCAUGAGAAG